GAAGAGCCCUUGGGAUGGCAGACAAAGAGGCAUUUGGAAGUGCAAAGGAAAAGGGGUGCUUCAGAGUCACUGAAGCUUUACCCGUGUGGCUUUCCUGGUCUUCUUCUCGGGCCCCCCCUGUUGAUGCAGAGCUUAAGAAGCUCAGAGAUGAGGCAAAACCUUUUUCAGUUACAGCAUCGUGAGGCUUAAUGGUGGGGACAGAAGGGAUGAGAAAUGCAUCAGGAAACACUGCAGGUGUGAGAAGAAUAGGGUAUGGGGUAUGAUGAGGAUGGGGAGGAAAAGGUCUCUUCUGGCUUCUGCCCCACCUUCCAAGAGGCUCUUCUUGCCUUGGAACAUUGUUG
rnacentral:lncRNA from 1 species